GGUAGCACUCAGGAGUGAGAUAGAUAGAACUUCACUGUCGUUUAUUAUCAAGUUGAGAAAUAAAGGAGCUUUUCCACUCUCCCAGCAUUGCUAAGAUAUCCACAGAUGUCCACCCUGCCCUAAUCAGGCAGAAGCUGGUAACACUUGCUCCUAAUGAUGGGCAUUGCCUAGUUUAGAUCAUGGUCCAAGAAAAAGUGAGCCCCUGAGGUCCUCCCAAGUGCCUGUCCUCUCUCUGCCCUUAGAACUGGGUUCUGCUUGGAAAGCACCAAAAGGAAAUGUCAUUUCCUCCUCCUGCUGGGGCUGUUCUGGUCAGAGCAGAGGCCGGUCCCCUUCCAAUGGGGUUAGCACCACAACACACUGCAUUCUGCAGGAUGUCCUACACCAGCUGUGACAGGUGAUUCAGCUUCCCCAGCAUUCUCCCACCUGCAUUAUAUUUGACUGUCAGAGGCAAUUACUGACAGAUAGCUUUAUGCUGGAUUAUUUUAGUUCUGACAAAAGGAGGGAUCUAUUUAUUAGUCUGCAGGUGAGGUUCCUGGUUUCAGAGGGCAAAUAAGCCAAGUGGGCUAAGAUGACUGCCCUGAGCAGCUCAGAGACAUAAGUGAGAAAGCAGUGGGAAGACACUGAAAUCCAAUAUGCAAUAGAGUCUGCAGUGGGCUCCCAAGGCCUGGGGCAGCAUUAUAGCACCUGUGAUUCUACAGGAGGAUAAGGGAAAGGGGAUCCGCCUUUCUGCAGACUGAGCAGAGCGCAUUGGACAGGUUCCCACUGAAGGUGAUGCCCAGAGAUGUGUUUCAAAUGCAUCGUAAAGAAUUUUAAUGUCUCAAAAUGAAAAAAAUCUCCAAAGCUUCUUUCUUCUUCCCUCAAAUUAUUAGGAAAUAAUUCCCAGAAUUCAAGAUCUUCCCUUCCUCAGGAGCCCAAGGAAGUUUUUGUUUCACUACUCAGGACCUUCACUUCUCAAUUUCAAGUUUAAUAUGCUGAUUUGUGUUUCAAAUCAAGACCAAGAUGUUUUUGUCUUGCUUCAGAGUGUUAAUUUCAAAUGGAAUUUCUCAUUCCAAAGAUACCAAGUUUAAUAAAUUAACAUCGCCUUUUGGGAAAAUGGAUACCCUUUGUACCAGCAUCUGGCCCACAAGGAGGUCAGUCAGUUACUCUAUUUCAAUUGCCCCUUGGUCCUGGUAGCUGAUAUUUGUCAAGACAAAAAUACCAAUAAGCCU